ACUGUGAACGCGUGUGUGUGUCGUCAAGUGUUGCAGGAUGGAUUUAUCUCAUGUUUUUAUUUUAUGAACCACACUGCUCUUUUUACAAAAUUAUCCUGUGUUCUAACCUCGUUCUGCAUGUGACUUUAAUAAUUUAAUUUCUCCUCCAAUCAGCCGUGUGUCGCAAAGAGACGGCAAAGAAAGAAAUCAUCCGCCAAAAAAACAACAAAUUAAUUUCCUAGGUCAGUAAUGUCUGUCCCGCAAUCGUCAUUGAAAGGAAUAACACGAGAGAAACCUGGUGGAACAAGUCCAAGUCCUGUUGAAGGCGUUGAAGGUAUUCCAGGACCAAGUACAUUAGAUCCAAUUAAUUGUUCACUGCCACAAGAUGGUGAAUCGGAAGACUAUGGCGACGAGGUGGAUGAAGCAGAAGCCGAGAGUACAGAGGAGGACAGCGAGAUUAGUGACACAGGACUGUUUUGUGACGCCGAGUGCGAUGAAGAAAUUGAAGAAAGCGAUUGUCAAUCACCUAUUUUGCGUUCACAACCCCCUUUACCACAACGAGUGCAAAGUCCAAUUUUACACACCUGUGUCCCUUUAGACGUUGUUCAACCUCAGAAAAAACGAAAAAGCGAAAUAGAAUCUAAUUUACCUUGUAAAAAGCUCGGCGCCGAGGACAAAUGUCAUAUAGCAAUCGCUCGAAAAUUAGAUGAUAAAGGUAAACCUGUACGAUUUUUGAUACCAACGAAAGAUAAUCCACCACCGGAAAUGAGUAAUUGGCUUUUACAAUUUCAGAGAUGGUCGAAUGCAGAGAGAAUGUUGGCGAUAGAUGAAUUAAUUGAAAGAUGUGAACCAACGCAAGUGCGUCAUAUGAUGCAAGUGAUAGAACCACAAUUUCAACGGGAUUUUAUUUCACUAUUGCCACGUGAAUUAGCCUUAUCUGUAUUAGCCUUUCUUGAGCCACGUGAUUUAUUGCGUGCAGCGCAAACAUGUCGCAGUUGGCGUUUUCUUGCCGAUGAUAAUUUAUUAUGGAAGGAAAAAUGUCGUGCGGCUGGUAUUGAUGAUCUUAAAGAAUCGCCAUCGUCAAAACGAAAAAAUGGCCGUACAUCGGGUAAUAGUUCAUCGCCAUGGAAACAAGCCUAUAUGAGGCAGCAUAAUAUUAAAAUGAAUUGGCGAACAAAGCCAAUCCGUCCACCAAAAGUUCUCAAAGGUCACGAUGAUCAUGUCAUUACUUGUUUACAAUUUUCUGGUAAUAGAAUAGUCAGCGGUUCUGAUGAUAAUACACUUAAAGUCUGGUCCGCCAUCACUGGGAAGUGUUUGCGAACGUUGGUUGGACACACGGGCGGAGUAUGGUCGUCACAAAUGUCGGGAGCGACGGUAAUCAGCGGCAGUACGGAUCGAACAUUAAAAGUAUGGAACGCUGAUUCUGGUUGUUGUAUACAUACAUUGUAUGGUCAUACAUCGACGGUGAGAUGUAUGCAUUUACAUGGGAAUAAAGUUGUCAGCGGCAGUAGGGAUGCAACAUUAAGAGUAUGGAAAGUUGAUACUGGUGAAUGUUUACACGUAUUGGUGGGACAUUUAGCUGCAGUUAGAUGCGUGCAAUACGAUGGUAAAUUAGUCGUUAGCGGUGCUUACGAUUAUAUGGUUAAAGUUUGGAAUCCAGAACGAGAAGAGUGCCUUCAUACUCUCCAAGGACAUACCAAUCGUGUUUACUCGCUUCAGUUUGAUGGUGUUCAUGUUGUGAGUGGUUCCCUCGAUACGAGCAUUCGAGUUUGGGAAGUUGAGACUGGCGCUUGUAGACAUACAUUAAUGGGUCAUCAAUCGCUCACUUCCGGUAUGGAACUACGUCAUAAUAUUCUUGUCUCAGGUAAUGCGGAUUCAACUGUCAAAGUAUGGGACAUUGUCAGCGGUCAUUGCCUACAAACGCUUUCCGGUCCAAAUAAACACCAGUCAGCAGUCACAUGUCUCCAGUUUAAUAGUCAUUUCGUGAUAACGUCCUCCGACGACGGAACUGUUAAACUUUGGGAUGUUAAAACUGGUGAUUUUAUAAGGAAUCUCGUAGCAUUAGAGAGUGGCGGAAGCGGCGGUGUGGUGUGGCGAAUUCGAGCAAGUGACACGAAACUUGUGUGUGCUGUUGGCAGUCGAAAUGGCACUGAGGAAACAAAACUUCUUGUUCUUGAUUUUGAUGUUGAAGUGAAAUAAUUUCUUCGCUGAGGAGGACAUGUUGUAAAUAAUUUUCAAAACUAGGUAGCUUAACCAAUCUACUGUACAAUGUUUUUUCAUGUAUUAAGUGGUGUGAUUGUGAUAAGACUGCACAUGGAAAAUAUCCGGAAAUGCAAGUCUGCAGGUGUGACAUGGGAUUAAAAAUCAUUUGCCUCUUUAUUUAUAUAAACUCAUAUCGUAACAAUUAGGAAUCGAAUGCAAAUGAAAAUGAUUUUGUAUAUGUAACAAUGAAAAAUAAUGCAAAAACUGCUCUAACCUUUUGAGUCAAUAUCAGUGAUUGAUUUAUUUAUCACAAAAAAAAAGGGUUUUUUGCAUUAAAAAAAAAUAGUGAAGGUCAACGAUUUAACAUCUGUAAAAAAAAAAAAUAAGUCUGGUUUCGCCAUGAUUCAGUAAUGAAAGUUGCGAAAUUUUAAUUAUUUUUGUGCAAUACUGUCACGAAUUGCCAUUUGACUACAUUAUUAUGGAAAAUUUAUUAAAGAAUUGUAAUGAAAAUUCUCCAAAAAAAAAAGAGCAAUUUAUCGUUUACUGGAUAAAUUUAUUUAUUUAUAUGAAUUUUUUGGAAAUGCAAUUCGUGCGAACGCUUCUUUUAUUACUGGAUUAAGGACACAUGGAGGUGGACCGUGUUUUAUUUGUAUAUUGCUCAAUAGUUUAUAAUUAUAAUAAUGUGUUAUCUGUUGUAUCAUUUUUUAUAAGAAAUAGAAAAUGUUGCUGCAUUUUGCACUUGCAUUUAUUUCUUAUGCAAUUAUUCAGGCGAAUACGUUAAAAAAAAAAAAAAAAAAAAAAAACGAAUAAACUUUUUUAUAGAAAAUAAAUCGAGUUAAUAUUAAUCCCAGAAAGUGAUUAAUUAAAAUUUAGAGUACUAGGAUGGAUAACUUUUUUUUUUUUACACGAAAUUAAGUAAAUUAAUUUUUUCUUUUAUUAUGUUUGAUUUUUUACAGUUUACAAAAAUUAUGUUCCAAAUGAAUCAGAAGAGGAAUGAUUUAAUGAAUUUUUGUUGACUUUGACAGAAAUAUAAAAUGUGCAUUCGUCACAGGCAACAUAAAAUUGUUCAUAAUUUUGCAAAUCCUCUUUGUCAACGAUAUAUUCACUGCCACAACGACAUUGAUAUGCUAAUUCUUCAUUCUUGGGAUAAAGUUCGUCGGAAGUAAUCCUUGCAAGGACAACAAUACUUUCUUCUUCUAAUUUUGUUUGUUUACGUUCAACAUCAUAAAGUUUUCUGCUUUCAGGUUUACUGAGAACGUUCCAAGCCUCUUGAAUUUGGUGAAAUUCCACAGCAUCUUUAUUUGAGUCCUGUACUUUAUCUGGGUGAGAUUUUAAAAUUAAUUUAUGAAAAGCACUUUUUAAAUCCUCGUGUGUUGCUUCUUCGGAACAUCCAAGAAUUUCGUAAAAAUCUUUAACACUCAUUUUUUAAAUUAGAAUUCUUAAAAUUCGGUAAUUUUAUUUUUAAAUUAAUCUUUAAGGUGACAUUUAUUUAUUUAUUU